rnacentral:rRNA from 1 species
GAUGAACGCUGGCGGCGUGCCUAAUACAUGCAAGUCGAGCGAACAGAUGAGGAGCUUGCUCCUCUGACGUUAGCGGCGGACGGGUGAGUAACACGUGGAUAACCUACCUAUAAGACUGGGAUAACUUCGGGAAACCGGAGCUAAUACCGGAUAAUAUAUUGAACCGCAUGGUUCAAUAGUGAAAGACGGCUUUGCUGUCACUUAUAGAUGGAUCCGCGCCGCAUUAGCUAGUUGGUAAGGUAACGGCUUACCAAGGCGACGAUGCGUAGCCGACCUGAGAGGGUGAUCGGCCACACUGGAACUGAGACACGGUCCAGACUCCUACGGGAGGCAGCAGUAGGGAAUCUUCCGCAAUGGGCGAAAGCCUGACGGAGCAACGCCGCGUGAGUGAUGAAGGUCUUCGGAUCGUAAAACUCUGUUAUUAGGGAAGAACAAAUGUGUAAGUAACUAUGCACGUCUUGACGGUACCUAAUCAGAAAGCCACGGCUAACUACGUG